rnacentral:piRNA from 1 species
UGCGAAACAGCAGUUACCGCAGGCCAUGGA